rnacentral:rRNA from 1 species
AGGAUCAUUAUCGUAUAAACUUGAACAGGCUGUUGCUGGCNNUCUGGGGUGUGUGCACGCUUGUCUCAUCUUUGUCAUUUCUCCAACUGUGCACAUUUUGUAGAUCCUUGGAUUUGAACUCACGUUCGAGAUGGGACUGCCGUCGCUUUUUCUCUGGGAGAAGGCCGGCUUUUCCUUGUAUCUUUUCCAGGUCUAUGUCACUUUUUUCACAAUCUCUUGAAUAUGUCUAGAAUGUUUGUCGGAUAUAUAAUAAUAUACAACUUUCAGCAACGGAUCUCUUGGCUCUCGCAUCGAUGAAGAACGCAGCGAAAUGCGAUAAGUAAUGUGAAUUGCAGAAUUCAGUGAAUCAUCGAAUCUUUGAACGCAUCUUGCGCUCCUUGGUAUUCCGAGGAGCAUGCCUGUUUGAGUGUCAUUUAACUUAUCAACCACUUUCUCAUUGUCUGAAUGUGGCUUGGAUGGUGGGGGCUCUUUGCAGGCCUUUUCUUUUAGGUCGGCUCCCCUGAAACGCAUUAGUGGCAUCUGAGCUGCUACUGUAGGUGUGAUAAAUUAUCUAUGCCUUUGGUAUGCUGCAUGGACAGAUUGCGCUGCUCAAAACAAAAAUUGACAGACUUGACCUCAAAUCAGGUAGGACUACCCGCUGAACUUAAGCAUAUCAAUAAGCGGAGGAAAAGAAACUAACAAGGAUUCC